rnacentral:rRNA from 1 species
UACGUAGGGGCCUACGACGUUGUCCGGAUUAUUGGGCGUAAAGAGCUCGUAGGCGGUUUGUCGCGUCUGCUGUGAAAACCUAAGGCUCAACCUUGGGCUUGCAGUGGGUACGGGCAGACUAGAGUGCGGUAGGGGUGACUGGAAUUCCUGGUGUAGCGGUGGAAUGCGCAGAUAUCAGGAGGAACACCGAUGGCGAAGGCGGCCGACU